GAGUUUGAUCGUGGCUCAGAGUGAACGCUGGCGGUAGGCCUAACACAUGCAAGUCGAACGGUAACAGGUCUUUCGGGAUGCUGACGAGUGGCGGACGGGUGAGGAAUACAUCGGAAUCUGCUCAGUCGUGGGGGAUAACGCAUGGAAACGUGCGCUAAUACCGCAUACGACCUUCGGGUGAAAGCAGGGGAAUCUCUCGGGAUCCUUGCGCGAUUGAAUGAGCCGAUGUCGGAUUAGCUAGUUGGUAGGGUAAAAGCCUACCAAGGCCACGAUCCGUAGCUGGUCUGAGAGGAUGAUCAGCCACACUGGGACUGAGACACGGCCCAGACUCCUGCGGGAGGCAGCAGUGGGGAAUAUUGGACAAUGGGGGCAACCCUGAUCCAGCCAUACCGCGUGGGUGAAGAAGGCCUUCUGGGUUGUAAAGCCCUUUUGUUGGGGAAGAAAAACAACGGGUUAAUACCCCGUUGGUAUGACGGUACCCAAAGAAUAAGCACCGGCUAACUUCGUGCCAGCAGCCGCGGUAAUACGAAGGGUGCAAGCGUUACUCGGAAUUACUGGGCGUAAAGGGUGCGUAGGUGGUUGCGCCAGUCUGUCGUGAAAGCCCUGGGCUUAACCUGGGAAUGGCGAUGGAAACUGCGCAACUAGAGUGUGACAGAGGGUGGUGGAAUUCCUGGUGUAGCAGUGAAAUGCGUAGAGAUCAGGAGGAACAUUCGUGGCGAAGGCGGCCACCUGGGUCAACACUGACACUGAGGCACGAAAGCGUGGGGAGCAAACAGGAUUAGAUACCCUGGUAGUCCACGCCCUAAACGAUGCGAACUGGAUGCUGGGUCCAACUUGGGAUUCAGUAUCGAAGCUAACGCGUUAAGUUCGCCGCCUGGGGAGUACGGUCGCAAGACUGAAACUCAAAGGAAUUGACGGGGGCCCGCACAAGCGGUGGAGUAUGUGGUUUAAUUCGAUGCAACGCGCAGAACCUUACCUGGCCUUGACAUGCACGGAACCUUUG
rnacentral:rRNA from 1 species